CCUCGGGUGACGAGGGAGACGAGGUGGUGCAUGGUUGUCGUCAGCUCGUGUCGUGAGAUUGUUGGGUUAAGUCCCGCAACGAGCGCAACCCCUACGUUUAGUUGCUAACGCGUGAAGGCGAGCACUCUAGACGAACUGCCGUUGACAAAACGGAGGAAGUGGGAUGACGUCAAAUCAUCAUGCCCCUUAUGUUCUGGGCUACACACGUGCUACAAUGGCCGGUACAGACGGACGCAAAGCCGCGAGGUGGAGCAAAUCCUAAAAAGCCGGUCUCAGUUCGGAUUGCAGGCUGCAAUUCGCCUGCAUGAAGUCGGAAUCGCUAGUAAUCGCAGGUCAGCAUACUGCGGUGAAUACGUUCCCGGGCCUU
rnacentral:rRNA from 1 species